AAUGAACGCUGGCGGCAGGCCUAAAACAUGCAAGUCGAACGCCCUAGCAAUAGGGAGUGGCGCACGGGUGAGUAACAUGUGGGAAUAUGCCUUUUGGUACGGAACAACGUUUGGAAACGAACGCUAAUACCGUAUGGUCCCUCCGGGGUAAAGAUUUAUCGCCAAAAGAUUAGCCCGCAAUAGAUUAGCUAGUUGGUAAGGUAAUGGCUUACCAAGGCGACGAUCUAUAGCUGUUCUGAGAGGAAGAUCAGCCACACUGGGACUGAGACACGGCCCAGACUCCUACGGGAGGCAGCAGUUAGGAAUAUUGGACAAUGGGCGCAAGCCUGAUCCAGCCAUGCCGCGUGAGUGAUGAAGGCCUUCGGGUUGUAAAGCUCUUUAGCCGACGAAUAUAAUGACUGUAGUCGGAGAAUAAGCCCCGGCUAACUUCGUGCCAGCAGCCGCAGUAAUAC
rnacentral:rRNA from 1 species